CGCUAGUCUGCUGUAUGUUGAAGUAGAUUUGUGGUAAUGUUAUCUACUUGCAUUAAAGGUCAUUCCAAAAGGACUUGUGGAGCGCUGCUCCUUCCAAAGCCCCCAGAAGUUCAUAAAUGAUCUCCUACAUGGGAUGUAUACCAGGGAAUAUAUGGCAGGCCAUUCAGUGACUGGCCAGUCAUCCAGCAGCUGCACAGAAGGAAAACCUGGCCUAGCCAAACAGGACCUUGUUGAAAUAACAAAUGCUGCAAAGUUGAAGUUCACCUACGUAACUGAUACGAACAUAAAAGCAUUUAUACGACAAAAGCUGAACAAUGCUGCCAAAUUUCAGAAACAAUAAAUUAUCAACUGUUUAAAGAAAGUUAAA